GGGGUCGUAGCUCAGUUGGUAGAGCGCGUCGUUCGCAACGACGAGGUCAGGGGUUCGACUCCCCUCGGCUCCA
rnacentral:tRNA from 1 species